UCUAAGGAAGUCUCAUGGCGCACCGCUCGGUGCCGCCGUCUCCGCAUCUCUUCUCUCGGAUAUCACGACCGCCGGCAGCGAUGCCGCGUGGUCUGCCGGUCUUAGUGACUGGCGCCGGUCGGGGCUAGUAGCUCAGUUGGUUAGAGCGCGCGCUUGAUAAGCGUGAGGUCGGAAGUUCAAGUCUUCCCUGGCCCACCACUGUUCCACCCGAUCCUUCCCCGUGGGGGCGUAGCUCAGUUGGGAGAGCGCGUGCUUUGCAAGCAUGAGGUCGUCGGUUCGAUCCCGUCCGCCUCCACCAGGAGGAAGGGCAGAGUGACGGACAGUGACCUUUGGUGACCUUCAACGACCCGGCAACAUGAUAUUCGAUGAGAGAGAAAGCAGAUAUCCGCUUGCGAGCGGGUAUGGGAUCUUUGACAUGUGAAGAGAAUGAGUGACCGAGGAUGACCCGACAGGGCCGUCGCCUCAGCUUUGGGGAGACUGCUGGUUGGGUCAUGACGAUGCAUCUUUGCCGGAUGYGUGCGGGCUGGCGUUGGUCCCUUGUGGGCUUUCUCCUGCGCGUGGCGCAUUCGUAAGUGUAGAACAAGCGUAUGAAGGGCAUCUGGUGGAUGCCUUGGCACUGAGAGGCGAUGAAGGACGCAGCACGUUGCGAUAAGCCAU
rnacentral:misc_RNA from 1 species